AUUGAACGCUGGCGGCAGGCCUAACACAUGCAAGUCGAACGAGUGGCGGACGGGUGAGUAAUGUCUGGGAAACUGUCCGAUGGAGGGGGAUAACUACUGGAAACGGUAGCUAAUACCGCAUACCAUCGGAUGUGCCCAGAGGGGAUUAGCUAGUAGGUGGGGUAACGGCGCACCUAGGCGACGAUCCCUAGCUGGUCUGAGAGGAUGACCAGCCACACUGGAACUGAGACACGGUCCAGACUCCUACGGGAGGCAGCAGUGGGGAAUAUUGCACAAUGGGCGCAAGCCUGAUGCAGCCAUGCCGCGUGUAUGAAGAAGGCCUUCGGGUUGUAAAGUACUUUCAGCGGGGAGGCGUUACUCGCAGAAGAAGCACCGGCGAACGCCGUGCCAGCAGCCGCGGUAAUUC
rnacentral:rRNA from 1 species